UACGUAGGGGGCAAGCGUUGUCCGGAUUUAUUGGGCGUAAAGAGCGUGUAGGCGGCUUUACAGGUCCGUUGUGAAAACUCGAGGCUCAACCUCGAGACGCCGGUGGAAACCGUAAGGCUAGAGUCCGGAAGAGGAGAGUGGAAUUCCUGGUGUAGCGGUGAAAUGCGCAGAUAUCAGGAAGAACACCCGUGGCGAAGGCGGCUCUCUGGGACGGUACUGACGCUGAGGCGCGAAAGCGUGGGGAGCGAACAGG
rnacentral:rRNA from 1 species